AGAGUUUGAUCAUGGCUCAGGAUGAACGCUGGCGGCGUGCCUAACACAUGCAAGUCGAACGAAGCACUUUCUUUAGAUUCUUCGGAUGAAGAAGACUGUGACUGAGUGGCGGACGGGUGAGUAACGCGUGGGCAACCUGCCCUGUACAGGGGGAUAACAGUUAGAAAUGACUGCUAAUACCGCAUAAGCGCACGAGGACGCAUGUUCUUGUGUGAAAAACUCCGGUGGUACAGGAUGGGCCCGCGUCUGAUUAGGUAGUUGGUGGGGCAGCGGCCUACCAAGCCGACGAUCAGUAGCCGACCUGAGAGGGUGACCGGCCACAUUGGGACUGAGACACGGCCCAGACUCCUACGGGAGGCAGCAGUGGGGAAUAUUGCACAAUGGGGGAAACCCUGAUGCAGCGACGCCGCGUGAGCGAAGAAGUAUUUCGGUAUGUAAAGCUCUAUCAGCAGGGAAGAAACUGACGGUACCUGACUAAGAAGCACCGG
rnacentral:rRNA from 1 species